rnacentral:tRNA from 1 species
GGGCGCGUAGCUCAAGCGGAUAGAGCAUCGGAUUUCUAAUCCGAGGGUUGCAGGUUCAAGUCCUGCCGCGCCUACCA